ACAGGUGUGCCCAGGCGUAUCUAUCAGUGCCCAGGUGUACCUGUCCAUGCCCAGGUGUGCCCAGGUGUACCUAUGUGUGCUCAGGUGUGCCCAGGCAUAUCUAUGUGUGUGUAUGAGUACCCAGGUGUGCCCAGGUGUAUCUAUGUGUGCCCAGGUGUACCCAGGUGUGCCCAGGUGUGCCCAGGUGUAUCUAUGUGUAUCUAUCAGUGCCCAGGUGUGCCCAGGUGUAUCUAUGAUGUACCGGGUGGUUGCAUCUAUCAGUCCACCAGGUGUGAGCAGGUGUGCCCAGGUGUAUCUAUCAGUGUACCCAGGUGUGCUAUCUAUGUGUAUCUAUCAGUACCCAGGUGUAUCUAUGUGUACCUAUCCAUGCCCAGGUGUGCUCACCGUUGAGGUAGGGGUGGUUGCAGCACUUGCGCAGCUCCAUCAUGGUGUUGAGCAGGUGUGCACAGGUGUGUCAACAACCCCAUACAGGUGUGUUAUAUGUACAAUACGGGCACACAAGUGUGCACAGGUGUGCCCAGGUGAGCUCACCUUGCUGUCCUUGCAGUACAUCUCGUACUGCUGGGUCACCUGCCUGCUUCCCAGGUGUGUCAGCAACCCCAUACAGGUGUAUUAGUGACCCCCAUACAGGUGCGUCACACACACAAUACAGGUGUUUUACCUGCCCAGGUGAGCUCACCUUGCUGUCCUUGCAGUACAUCUCGUACUGCUGGAUCAUCUGCCGGCUGGCCAGGCUGCACAGGUGUGUCAGUAACCCCACACAGGUGUGUCACACACACAAUACAGGUGUAUCACGGAUGUUUCACCUGCCCAGGUGAGCUCACCUUGCUGUCCUUGCAGUACAUCUCGUACUGCUGGAUCAUCUGCCGGCUGGCCAGGCUGCCGUGGUACACGAUGGUGUUCAGGUGCGUCCAGGUGCCGAACUCGCGCUCCCAGUUGGCGAUGGUGGAGAGCGGCGCGAUCACCAGGUAGGGGCCGCGCACACCUGCGCCGUGCACCUCCUGCAGGAACGCGAUCGACUGGAUCGUCUUGCCCAGCCCCAUCUCGUCCGCCAGGAUGCAGUUCUGCCUGAGGGACAGGUGCGACACAGGUGAGACAGCUGAGACACGCCUGGCACAGGUAACGUACGCCUGGCACAGGUAACUUAUGCCUGGGAUACACCUGGCACAGGUAAGGUACACCUGAGGCAGGUAAUGUACACCUGACACAGGUAAGGUACACCUGAGAUACACCUGGCACAGGUAACGUACACCUGGCACAGGUAAGGUACACCUGAGAUACACCUGGCACAGGUAACGUACGCCUGGCACAGGUAACUUAUGCCUGGGAUACACCUGGCACAGGUAAGGUACACCUGGGGCAGGUAAUGUACACCUGGCACAGGUAAGGUACACCUGAGAUACACCUGGCACAGGUAAGGUACACCUGGCACAGGUAAGGUACACCUGAGAUACACCUGGCACAGGUAAGGUACACCUGGCACACGUAAGGUACACCUGAGAUACACCUGGCGCAGGUAACGUACACCUGGCACAGGUAAGGUACACCUGAGGGACAGGGGUUGCUCUUGCCCAGCCCCAUCUCGUCCGCCAGGAUGCAGUUGUGCCUGAGGGACAGGUGCGACACAGGUGAGACAGCUGAGACACGCCUGGCACAGGUAACGUACACCUGGCACAAGUAACAUACACCUGGGACAGGUAACGCACACCUAAGAUACACCUGGGACAAGUAACAUACACCUAGGACAGGUAAGGUGCACCUGAGAUACACCUGGGACAGGUAAGGUACACCUGAGAUUCACCUGGCACAGGUAAAGCACACCUGAGGCACAGCUGGGACUGGUAAGGUGCACCUGGGAUACACCUGGCACAGGUAAUUUACACCUAGAAUACACCUGAGAUGCACCUGGGACAGGUAACUUGCACCUGGAACCCAGAAUAUGUAACAGACCAGGUGUUCUCACCUGUCCCAGGUGUGCCCAGGUGAGCUCACCUGUUGUACCAGUUGAAGAGCAGCCAAUUGACGCCCUCCAGCUGGUAUUCCCUGAGCCGAUACCCUCACCUGUCCCAGGUGUAUUUACCUGCCCCAGGUGUGCCCAGGUGAGCUCACCUGUUGUACCAGUUGAAGAGCAGCCAAUUGACGCCCUCCAGUUGACACUCCCUGAGCAGAUACCCUCACCUGUCCCAGGUGUUUUCCCAUUCCCCAGCUGUUCCCAGGUGUAUUUACCUGUGCCCAGGUGAGCUCACCUGUUGUACCAGUUGAAGAGCAGCCAAUUGACGCCCUCCAGUUGACACUCCCUGAGCCGAUACCCUCACCUGUCCCAGGUGUAUUUACCUGCACCAGGUGUAUUUACCUGUCCCAGGUGUGUUUACCUGUGCCCCAAGUGAGCUCACCUGUUGUACCAGUUGAAGAGCAGCCAGUUGACGCCCUCCAGCUGGUAUUCCCUGAGCCGAUACCCUCACCUGUCCCAGGUGUUUUCCCAUUCGCCAGCUGUUCCCAGGUGUGUUUACCUGUGCCCAGGUGAGCUCACCUGUUGUACCAGUUGAAGAGCAGCCAGUUGACGCCCUCCAGCUGGUAUUCCCGCAGCUGGUUGUGGUUCUUGUACUCGUGCGACGCCUCCAGCUUCUUCCAGGCGCCGGCCUGGGGGCGGGGCUGGAACAGGUGAGACACAGGUGAGACACAGGUGAGACACAGGUGAGCCAGGUAGGACAGGUGAGACACAGGUGAGACACAGGUGGGACACAGGUGAGCCACAGGUGAAACACAGGUGAGACACAUCAUACAGGUGGGACACAGGUAAAAUGAAAUACAAGGGAAAUACAAGUGAAAUGAGUCAUACAGGUGAGGGACAGGUGAGGGACAGGUGAGACACACAGGUGAGAUAAAUCAUACAGGUGAGUUACAGGUAAAGUUAAAUGCAACUGAAAUAUCAUACAGGUGAGCCAGGUGGGACAGGUGAGACACAGGUGAGAUAAAAGUGAGACAUAGAUAACAUACAGGUAAUGUACAGGUGAGUUACAGGUGAGACACAGGCGACACAGGUGAGACACAGGUGAGAUACAUCAUACAGGUGAGUUACAGGUAAGGCGAAAUACAAAUGAAAUGUCAUACAGGUGAGAUACAGGUGAGACACAGGUGAGAUACAUCAUACAGGUGAGUUACAGGUAAGGUAAAAUGCAAGUGAAACGUGAUACAGGUGAGAUACAGGUGAGACAGGUGAGAUACAGGUGAGCCAGGUGAGCCAGGUGGUGAUGCAGAUCUCACCUGUACAGGGGCGUGGCUCACCUGUAAAGGUGCAGAGCUCGCCUGGGAGUGGGCGUGGCUCACCUGUGCGUGGGCGUGGCCUCACCUGUCUCUUGAGCUCGGGGUGCCGCGCCUGGAUCCGCUUGAACUCGGCCACCUUGGCCUCGUCCACGUCCUCCUGCAGCUCCCAGGUGCUGUCCUCGUACGGCAGCGAGCACCACUUCACCAGGUAAUACACCACGGGCUGCGGGGGGACACACCUGCUCAGGUAACACACCUGGAUACAGGUAACCGCCAGGUGAGCCCUCCUGCAGCCCCAGGUAACUGACACCUGGAUACACCUGGGCACACCUGGACAGGUAACUGUCAGGUAACUGACACCUGGAUACACCUGGAUACAGGUAACCGCCAGGUGAGCCCUCCUGCAGCCCCCAGGUGCUGUCCUCGUAUGGUAAUGAGCACCACUUCACCAGGUAAUACACCACGGGCUGCACGGGGGACACACGUGCUCAGGUAACUGACACCUGGAUACAGGUAACUGCCAGGUGAGCCCUCCUGCAGCCCCCAGGUGCUGACACCUCGAUACCUGGUAAUGAGCACCACUUCACCAGGUAAUACACCACGGGCUGCACAGGUGAGACAGGUGAGUCAGGUAACACACCUGGAUACAGGUAACUGACACCUGGAUACACCUGGGCACACCUGGAUACAGGUAACUGCCAGGUAACUGACACCUGCAUACACCUGCACAGGUAACUGACCUCAUACAUGGACAGGUAACUCACACCUGGGCACACCUAGGUACAGGUAACUGCCAGGUAACUCACACCUGGAUACACCUGGACAGGUAACUGACCCCACACCUGACCAGGUGAUACACCACGGGCUGGGGAGGGAACACCUGAACAGGUGAGUCACACCUGGGCACACCUGGAUACAGGUAACUGACCCCUGGGCACACCUAGACAGGUAACACACCUGGGCACUGGACAGGUAAAGGCACCACAGCAAAACCAACAAGAAUCCUCAAUUUUGGGGUUUCACCACCACAAAAUCCAUGCAAGUCCAUUACAAUCCCAAAUUUUGGGGUUUAAAACCCCAAAAUAGACAGGUAACACCAGCUGGAAAAUCCACGAAACUCCCAUCUUGGAGUUCUGAAUUCCUGAAAAGGUAAUUUUGGGGCACCUACCAGCAGAAGACCAACAAAAUCCUCAAUUUUGGGGUUUCACCAUCAAAAGAUCCAUGAAAAUCCCGA
rnacentral:lncRNA from 14 species